CCUACGGGAGGCAGCAGUGGGGAAUAUUGGGCAAUGGGCGAAAGCCUGACCCAGCAACGCCGCGUGAAGGAAGAAGGCUUUCGGGUUGUAAACUUCUUUUGACAGGGAAGAGCAGAAGACGGUACCUGGCGAAUAAGCCACGGCUAACUACGGGCCAGCAGCCGCGGUAAUACGUAGGUGGCAAGCGUUGUACGGAUUGACUGGGGGUAAAGGGCGUGGAGCCGGGCUGAAAAGUCAGAUGUGAAAUCCGGGGGCUCAACCCCCGAACUGUAUUGGAAACUGUUGGUCUUGAUUAUCGGAGAGGCAGUCGGAAUUCCUCUUGUAGCGGUGACAUGCGUAGAUAUUAG
rnacentral:rRNA from 1 species